CCCCUGGCGUGGGCACAGGCAAGGUGAGGGCUCUGCGGGCGCGCGCCCUGUGGUGGGGCCAUGCUCCGCCCUGGGUCCCUACCCUGGUGGAGGCGCCUGGGCCCUCAGUGCCGUCCUGGGACAGACCUGUGUCCCUAAGGCCUGAGACGCUGGGCCCGCCCUGAAGGCGUGUCAUCACGCGGGGGGCGGGAGGGGACCCUGGCCAGGCAGUGCCUGAAUGAACCCGUUCCGUGCUGCCCCCUUCCCAGCCCUGAGCAUGGGGACGCCAGGCUUCCAGCCACAGGGGCAGACUAACCCCGGAGCCCACUCCCUGCCUGGGUCUGUGUGAGGAAGAGCCCGGGCCGGAGACUAGGAGGCAUGGAACAAAGUGUUUGCAUCUGCGUGGCCGCAUCAGGAGAAAUUCCUGGGAGGCUCGGGACCUCGGGGCGACCCCUGGAAAAACCUGGCAGCCCUCUACCCUCUUUUCAGUGCAUUUGGGGCCUGGCUGGAAGGCCCCUCCGAGGUAGACCCUGAGAGUACCCUCCCCUUGGGAACAUCACGGAUCUGCGCCGCCUCCACCAGGCUGGCCUCAGGGGCUGCUCCCUCGAGUACCCUGGCCCUGCUGGACCGUGGCUGGGGAUGGCAGCAAGGAGAUGGACAUGGCACUCCCAGAGCCGUGGCUGCUGCAGGUGCUCAAAGGGCUGCUGCGAGAACAGAGGGAGAGCUCUCCAAACCCCAGCACGGUUCUCAGUCAUCAUGAGACCGGAACACAGAGGCCCACACACGACCGCUGGACAUGUUUAAGAAAAUGCCAAUGUAUUUCCACUAGAAAAAUCCUCUUUUCCUAAAUACAUGUCUCUAUGUUGAAUAAGUUAAAAUAGCAUCUCC
rnacentral:lncRNA from 1 species